rnacentral:lncRNA from 1 species
AUCAUCUUCAGAUUAACCAGUGUGAAAGAGUAUAUCUACAAGCUGAAUGGCCUCCUUAUCAGCUUAUCAGCUUUCAUGCUUGAAAUACUUAUUGCAAGCAGUUUAUGCUGGUACCUGUGGGAAUUUGAUAACAAUGUUAUGAAGUUUGUGUUCUUUGGACUGUGGAAAGUGUAUUAUCCUCAACAGUUUAAUAUUUCUGGGACACCAACCAAGAUGCUGCUGUACACUCCUCUUGAGUCAAUUUGGAAAAAUUCACCUGAAUUUUAGUGUGCACAGAACCUGAUAGUAAGGACCAUUUUGAUGAAGCCUGUGGUUCUGGUUUUCAGUGCAAUGGUCAUUAAGUUCAACUGCAUGAAAGAACCACCUGUGUAUAUGCAUAUAUGUUACUACAAGAACUCUACCUCAAUUUAGUCUGUUAGCAGCAUUUUUACAUUUACUUUUGUGACCUGAAACUAUAUGGUAGAUCUUAAUGGCUAGACAACU